rnacentral:rRNA from 1 species
AGUAACGGCGAGUGAAGCGGCAAAAGCUCAAAUUUGAAACCCUCGGGAUUGUAAUUUGAAGAUUUGGCAUUGGAGAAAGCUAACCCAAGUUGCUUGGAAUAGUACGUCAUAGAGGGUGACAACCCCGUCUGGCUAACCGUUCUCCAUGUAUUGCCUUAUCAAAGAGUCGAGUUGUUUGGGAAUGCAGCUCAAAGUGGGUGGUAAACUCCAUCUAAAGCUAAAUACUGGUGAGAGACCGAUAGCGAACAAGUACUGUGAAGGAAAGGUGAAAAGAACUUUGAAAAGAGAGUGAAAUAGUAUGUGAAAUUGUUGAUAGGGAAGGAAAUGGGUGGAGAGUGGCCGAGGUUUCAGCCGCCCCUCGUGGGCGGUGUACUGCCGACGCCGAGUCAUCGAUAGCGAGACGAGGGUUACAAAUGGGAGCGCCUUUCGGGCGUUCUCCCCUAACCCUCCACACUGCCACCGACGACAUAAUCCACCCAUUUCA